GACGAACGCUGGCGGCGUGCUUAACACAUGCAAGUCGAGCGGUAAGGCCCUUUCGGGGUACGACGAGCGGCGAACGGGUGAGUAACACGUGGGUGACCUGCCCUCAGCUCUGGGAUAAGCCUGGGAAACCGGGUCUAAUACUGGAUAUGACUCCAUGACGCAUGUUGGUGGGGUGGAAAGCCUUGUGCGGCUGAGGAUGGGCCCGCGGCCUAUCAGCUU
rnacentral:rRNA from 1 species